UACGGAGGGUGCGAGCGUUGUCCGGAAUCAUUGGGCGUAAAGGGCGCGUAGGCGGCUUCUUAAGCGUGCGGUGAAAGCCUGGGGCUCAACCCCGGGUCGGCCGUGCGAACUGGGGGGCUGGAGCACUGUAGAGGCAGGCGGAAUUCCGGGUGUAGCGGUGGAAUGCGUAGAGAUCCGGAAGAACACCGGUGGCGAAGGCGGCCUGCCGGGCAGUUGCUGACGCUGAGGCGCGACAGCGUGGGGAGCAAACAGG
rnacentral:rRNA from 1 species